rnacentral:lncRNA from 1 species
CUAUACACAAAUUACUAGUCCAGACAAAACUUGAAUUGGAAUUCCACCCCUCAAAAUACAUGGGUUGGAGAAGAAUUUUGGGCUCAAAAUUGAAAAUUUGGGUUUGCACCCAAUGGUUGGAGAUGGUCUUAGAACCCAUAACCCAGCCCACAACCCAUCCCCCCUACAUGCAUAACCCAACCCUCAUUCCCUUUCCGUCUCCCCCAUCAUCCUCUUCCUCUCAUUCCCUUCCUUCCCCUUCCAUGUCCCCCACCCUACCC